CCUACGGGGUGCAGCAGUGGGGAAUAUUGGACAAUGGGCGAAAGCCUGAUCCAGCCAUGCCGCGUGUGUGAAGAAGGCCUUCGGGUUGUAAAGCACUUUCAGUGGGGAAGAAAGCCUUGGGGCUAAUACCCUCGAGGAAGGACAUCACCCACAGAAGAAGCACCGGCUAACUCCGUGCCAGCAGCCGCGGUAAUACGGAGGGUGCGAGCGUUAAUCGGAAUUACUGGGCGUAAAGCGCGCGUAGGCGGUCUGAUAAGCCGGUUGUGAAAGCCCCGGGCUCAACCUGGGAACGGCAUCCGGAACUGUCAGGCUAGAGUGCAGGAGAGGAAGGUAGAAUUCCCGGUGUAGAGGUGAAAUGCGUAGAGAUCGGGAGGAAUACCAGUGGCGAAGGCGGCCUUCUGGACUGACACUGACGCUGAGGUGCGAAAGCGUGGGUAGCAAACAGGAUUAGAUACCCGAGUAGUC
rnacentral:rRNA from 1 species